CACACACACAGUUACAGUGUGAGGAGAAUGAAGGCACUGUGCUUGUGCCCACUUUGAGCCUAAACAAUGAUUGAACUCACGGGAAAUAGACUAAAUCCACCCCUCGUAUCAGUGCUGUGGGACUUACAGAUACCCCCGAGGAUUGGCCUGAAGAGACAGAUGGUCGCAGUUGUAGAUGAGAACUUGUUCUCUAUUGCCUACCUGGUUAAAUAAAGAGCAUCAUUGUGUUGACCUGCCCUUCAGAUGAGAGCGAAAGAGAGCUGAAUGUACAGGAGUCCACUCAUGCAUUUUAGACCAUGGGUAAAUUAUUAAGUGGUCAAGUCUGGAUCGCCAGGAGACAGGCAGUUCAAUGGAAACAUCUCGCCUCCCUUCUCGUGUGUAUCUGCC